rnacentral:misc_RNA from 1 species
GAUGAAGAACGUAGCGAAAUGCGAUAAGCAAUGUGAAUUGCAGAAUUCAGUGAAUCAUCGAAUCUUUGAACGCACAUUGCGCCCCCCAGUAUUCUGGCGGGCAUGCCUGUUCGAGCGUCAUUUCAACCAUCAAGCCCUGCUUGUGUUGGGGUCCUGCGGCUGCCCGCAGGCCCUGAAAACCAGUGGCGGGCUCGCUAGUCACACCGAGCGCAGUAGCACAUCUCGCUCAGGGCGUGCGGCGGGCUCCAGCCGUUAAAGCACCCACCUUUCGCAAGGUUGACCUCGGAUCAGGUAGGAAUACCCGCUGAACUUAAGCAUAUCAAUAAGCGGAGGA